rnacentral:rRNA from 1 species
GACGUAGGGCGCGAGCGUUGUCCGGAAUUAUUGGGCGUAAAGAGCUCGUAGGCGGUUUGUCGCGUCGGCCGUGAAAUCUCCACGCUUAACGUGGAGCGUGCGGUCGAUACGGGCAGACUUGAGUUCGGUAGGGGAGACUGGAAUUCCUGGUGUAGCGGUGAAAUGCGCAGAUAUCAGGAGGAACACCGGUGGCGAAGGCGGGUCUCUGGGCCGAUACUGACGCUGAGGAGCGAAAGCGUGGGGAGCGAACAGG